rnacentral:rRNA from 1 species
AGUGAACGCUGGCGGUAGGCCUAACACAUGCAAGUCGAACGGCAGCACAGUAAGAGCUUGCUCUUACGGGUGGCGAGUGGCGGACGGGUGAGGAAUACAUCGGAAUCUACUUUUUCGUGGGGGAUAACGUAGGGAAACUUACGCUAAUACCGCAUACGACCUACGGGUGAAAGCAGGGGAUCUUCGGACCUUGCGCGAUUGAAUGAGCCGAUGUCGGAUUAGCUAGUUGGCGGGGUAAAGGCCCACCAAGGCGACGAUCCGUAGCUGGUCUGAGAGGAUGAUCAGCCACACUGGAACUGAGACACGGUCCAGACUCCUACGGGAGGCAGCAGUGGGGAAUAUUGGACAAUGGGCGCAAGCCUGAUCCAGCCAUACCGCGUGGGUGAAGAAGGCCUUCGGGUUGUAAAGCCCUCUUGUUGGGAAAGAAAAGCAGCAGGUUAAUACCCCGCUGUUCUGACGGUACCCAAAGAAUAAGCACCGGCCAACUUCGUG